rnacentral:rRNA from 1 species
CGUCGUGAGACAGGUUUGUUGCUUUGUGGUUGAGGCGUAUCAGGUGCCUGAUCGGAAGGGCCCUUUAGUACGAGAGGAACGAGGGCUCGGAGCCACUAGUUUACCAGUUGUCCGGCAGGGCAAUGCUGGGUAGCCACGCUCUACGCGGAUAAGAGCUGAAAGCAUCUAAGCUCGAAGUCGCCCGAAAGACGAGGCACCUCAGGGGACUCGUAGAAGACGAGUUUGAUAGACAGCGGGUGUAAGUACCGAGGUUCGCCGAGGUAUUCAGCCCAGCUGCACUAACCCCCCGAGCAUCCAAUUAG